UAGAGUCUAGAUCUAAAUAAAGUUGUUUUGUAAGAGAGAAUACAUUUUGAUUGGUCACAUAUGCUUUCUGCACGAAUAGGCCUAACAAGUGUUUUUAUUUUUUUGCGCGAAGUAACAUAUUCUUAGACGUAGAUCUAUCUGGUGAGUUUUUUUUUUAUUUGUAAUUGUUCAUUUAGAUCUAACUACAGUAGGCUAUUUAGAUAUAUAACAGCGAGAAAUGUACAUUUUCCACGUUUGCUGUUCAUAGGCCCUAAUUUUAUCAGGUUCCUGACUUUUUUGUUUAUGUUCUUAAGUUUUCUUCCUACGUAGAUCUACCUAGAUCUUGGUUCUCUGUUCAAUAAAAAUAAACGUACAGUAGUUGUUUCAUUCCACAAACCACUACGAGUUCACAUCGAGAAAACGGUGUAGACAGUCAAAAGUUUUCGCACUGUCCCGAAACGUGCACCUAGCCGCUCGUACCACGUGACAUGACAUUUGCAAACAUUAUUUUUAGUUUAUAUAGGCCAAUCUUUUAUUUUUUCGUAAUGGAUGCGUAAGCAUAAUCUCUGAAAAAUCCUCAAAAACUAUUUCAGUAGUUGCUUAAGCCUUAUUUGUUUAAAACUGAACAGUAAGGGGAGAUAACUGAAAGGGGAGUUUUUGAAAAGGCCGCCAUUUUCUUGUAAACAGGAGCAAAUCUGAUAAAUUUUACAGGUGUUUGUCUCGACCAUCAACUGGAUCAAAGAGAUUGUGGUGUGUGUGUGUGUGCUGUGUUGAGAUACCAUUGUUGAGGAAGAGUUGCAUUCCAAGUUGCACAACUUGGCAUGCACAAAUGGGAAAAGAUGUGUACAAAGUUCUUGUGAGCAUCCGCUGUUGUUGAACAUGUUGGAUAUGCCAUUCCUGGUCCAACAUGGACAAAAAAUGGACACAUAAUUGGUUAAAGGCAAAGCUAAAAGGCCUACACUGGAUCAAAAAGAGUUUGUGGAGUGUGAUGUGAGCUGUGUUGAGAUACAAUUGUUGAGGAAGAGUUGCAGUUAGUUCAGCAACUUGGCAUACGCAAAUAGGGAAGAAACAUGUACAACAAGGAAAUUCUCGUGAGCAUACGCUGUUGGUGAACAUGUUGGAAAUGCUGUAUGGGUGCCAGUGUAGACAAAAAAUGGAAAGCCGAAAGGAUGCGUGAUUUCUUACCAACACAGUGGACUGAAGACAACCCUACUCCAUGAACCACUUUCAAUUCUGCUUUCCAAAUGAAAUAUAGAACUAAAUGCAGUUCAUCUAACGGAGUGGAGUCCAGCAAUAAUGUUGUGAUUACCAGCAGUUCUGAUAAGUGAUCUACUCGGCCAGCAAACAGGAGAUAUGAACAUUCAGUUGUAAACCAUUGUGAGUGGUUGUAUGUGGAUUUUUAGAAGAUUUGAACAGCCGGUUAUGAAGCAAUGCAUGGUUUUUUGAGUGGACAUCAGUAUUCAGUUAAAACCAGUGUAUGGAUUUUUGAGCAAGUUAUAAUUGUGUAUUAUCAGAAUGAUAUUUCUGGGGUGUUAGGAAAUCACUUACUUUGACAUUCGGAGAACAGAGACUAUAUGAAUAGUGCAAUUUAAAUUAGUGGAUUAACAAAAUACAGGGUUGUCAAUAAGUUUUUGUUGAACAGGCUGAAAUAGAAAUGUAGGCGGCCAGCUAUGGGGGUCCGGGGGCAUGCCCCCCCGGAAAAUUUUGAAAUUCAGCACUUCAUUUCCUGCAUUUUGGAAGCAUUUAAGAACAUAUUUUCCACUGCAUUUUUUAAAUACAAUAUACCUUUAUUUUCACAUUUUUAUGAGCUCACCUGGUAAAUUUGGAGAUAAUAAUAAAAAUGAGUUUACACGUUCAUUAAUGCAUUUUCAAGUCCUGAAAUGAUAAUAUCUAACUUGUCACCACACUCCAACUCUUUGUUAUACUUCUUUGCAAAAUCAAAUAGUUAUUGAACUACUGUAUAUCUAAAUUCAAAACUCUACUGAGUAUUAAACCUGUAGGCCUACUCAUAUUUCUUUUGUGGGGAAGAAGAUUCCCCAGAUGAAUUUUUACGAUUUGGCGUGACAAAAAAUGUCACUGUUAGAACCAUCAAAACAAAAUGUACAGAGUUAGAAGUAACACAAGUUUAGGCAUAGAAAAUUAACUGUUUGAUUCUUAUCCCACCUAUCCUUAUCCAAAACCCCUAGCCUCGAUUUUUUAUUGAUCAAAAUCCAGAUAUCCAAAAUUGUAUGUCCGGGACCAAAUCUCCAGAUUAAAGGAUGUGUUUGACAAAUUAUGAUGGUGCAAAGACAGUUUAACAGCAUUUGACAGUAUCUGAUAUAAAAAUUUACCAUGACAUUUCCUCUUAUUAAAAUGAUUUAAGAGAAAUAUUUAUCAAAAAUCGGCCAGCUGAUACCGCGACAACUACUGUACUUUCGAUUUCAAAAAUUUAUAGAAAAAAGGUAAAAGCCAAUAUAUAUUUUCUGAUCUAAAUUCGAUUGUGAUUAAUAAUUUUUUUAUAGAAAUUAAAUAUCUGUCUCAGUUGUCACAUUAUAAUCAACACCUGGCUUUGUUAUACAAUGCAAUAAACAGCACUCGACAGACUCGAUAGGUGUGAAAAUAUCCGAAAAUUGUUGUUUACACGAUUAGUUAUGAGCGAUUUUGGAUUAUUAAAUGUAAAGGAGCUUGUGGAUAAUUUCUUUGUUUUGUUUUUUGUUGUCUUUUCUUUUAAAUCGGGACCAUCGACACUCAUGAUUUCAAAAUUCUUGGAAAUUAUCGCGGAUGUCCCAUCACUCUUUCUUCCGAAAUUUUUGCUACAAAAUAUAACUUUGACACUACGAUAACUGAUGAAUAUAUUUUCACGUAGAUCUCUGAUAUUAAAUUUCGGGCCUCGACCUUAGCGGUGGACCGUUGGACCGACGCAACCAAAAUAUCGACAGGUCCACUAUCAAAAGUUGGGUAGACCGACGGUCAACCAAUUUUCAGUCACGGUCUGCAAGUAAAAUAAAACCCUUAAAAGUGAAAAAUAGGGGGGAAAUCGUACCCAUAUCGGCGAAUUCACAAAACGAAAGUUGAUUUUGCCUUAAGUACGGCAUUCUACAGUUAUAAGCAUUGGCGAGUUAAAGUCAGGAUCGCACGAAUGGACUACUCAACCGAUCGGGCGAGUGGUUUUUACGUGGUAACUUUACCAAAUUGAGAAAUUACAUCGGGCAAAAUUACCUGGAUUGACUGGAAUUUACCCGCGAAUCGUAAAAAUAUCAAAACGUCAUGCUGGUAAUUUUCCAUUCCACAAGAACGUGCGCCCUAUCGUAAUAUCUAAUUUACAUCGGGGUUACUUUUGACACAAAAAACGCGCGUAGUUCAUUCAUUUUUUAAUAUAAUCGCUUCAAAUUUUCAACACCGCUUGAGAACUAAUACAGUUUGAAUUCUAUAACAAUUUUAAUAAGAUAUCUACAGGAAUGUAGGCAAAAUUCUUUAAAAACGAUAAAAUUUUCAUAUAAUGUUUUGUAAAAUUUCAAACAGCGCGAUCUUGAUCAUUUAUUUCCUUCUUAAAGUAAAUAAACGGUACAUACUAUGGUAAUAAAAUUCAGACUUUUGACCAGAAAGUACAAAAAACACAAUUAAAAAAUCUUAAAUAAUGAAAAAGCGGCAGCAAUUUAAAUACAUGGAGUAAAACGAUUUUUGGCAAACAGAUUUCUGUUAGCGCGGCAGAAUAAGUUACGUGACCUCAUGAACGUAAAUAGAAAUGUGCUUUUAAAAUGAAGCAGUAUGAUGUCGU